rnacentral:rRNA from 1 species
GACGAACGCUGGCGGCGCGCCUAACACAUGCAAGUCGAACGAGCGAGAGAGAGCUUGCUUUCUUGAGCGAGUGGCGAACGGGUGAGUAACGCGUGAGGAACCUGCCUCGGAGUGGGGAAUAACAGUUGGAAACGACUGCUAAUACCGCAUGACGCGUAGAGGUCGCAUGAUCUUUACGCCAAAGAUUUAUCGCUGAAAGAUGGCCUCGCGUCUGAUUAGCUAGUUGGUGAGGUAACGGCCCACCAAGGCGACGAUCAGUAGCCGGACUGAGAGGUUGACCGGCCACAUUGGGACUGAGAUACGGCCCAG